rnacentral:lncRNA from 1 species
UCAAGAACACCACCAACAUUCACCUUCAAGUCAACAACAAUUGCAACACACAGCAAAGAUCAACAAUAUCAACACACGACCAACUUCCACUUUACAUCAACAAGGUCAACAGCAUAAGCUCAAAACUUUAGAUUUAGACACUUUAGUGUUGGUGAGAAAGAAACCAACACUAGAAAUAAUCUAAACAAACAAAAGACUACAAGAUCUAGCCACAAAGAAACAUGUCUCGGCCAAGAACAAGAACAACUUCUACACUUUCCUUUUUUUUUUGUAUUUUUAAGCUAGCUAGCCCAAGAUUAAUCUUAUG